rnacentral:rRNA from 1 species
GACGAACGCUGGCGGCGUGCUUAACACAUGCAAGUCGAACGGAAAGGCCCUGCUUUUGUGGGGUGCUCGAGUGGCGAACGGGUGAGUAACACGUGAGUAACCUGCCCUUGACUUUGGGAUAACUUCAGGAAACUGGGGCUAAUACCGGAUAGGAGCUCCUGCUGCAUGGUGGGGGUUGGAAAGUUUCGGCGGUUGGGGAUGGACUCGCGGCUUAUCAGCUUGUUGGUGGGGUAGUGGCUUACCAAGGCUUUGACGGGUAGCCGGCCUGAGAGGGUGACCGGCCACAUUGGGACUGAGAUACGGCCCAGACUCCUACGGGAGGCAGCAGUGGGGAAUAUUGCACAAUGGGCGGAAGCCUGAUGCAGCAACGCCGCGUGCGGGAUGACGGCCUUCGGGUUGUAAACCGCUUUCGCCUGUGACGAAGCGUGAGUGACGGUAAUGGGUAAAGAAGCACCGGCUAACUACGUGCCAGCAGCCGCGGUGAUACGUAGGGUGCGAGCGUUGUCCGGAUUUAUUGGGCGUAAAGGGCUCGUAGGUGGUUGAUCGCGUCGGAAGUGUAAUCUUGGGGCUUAACCCUGAGCGUGCUUUCGAUACGGGUUGACUUGAGGAAGGUAGGGGAGAAUGGAAUUCCUGGUGGAGCGGUGGAAUGCGCAGAUAUCAGGAGGAACACCAGUGGCGAAGGCGGUUCUCUGGGCCUUUCCUGACGCUGAGGAGCGAAAGCGUGGGGAGCGAACAGGCUUAGAUACCAUGGUAGUCCACGCUGUAAACGGUGGGUACUAGGUGUGGGGUCCAUUCCACGGGUUCCGUGCCGUGGCUAACGCUUUAAGUACCCCGCCUGGGGAGUACGGCCGCAAGGCUAAAACUCAAAGGAAUUGACGGGGCCCCGCACAAGCGGCGGAGCAUGCGGAUUAAUUCGAUGCAACGCGUAGAACCUUACCUGGGUUUGACAUGGAUCGGGAGUGCUCAGAGAUGGGUGUGCCUCUUUUGGGGUCGGUUCACAGGUGGUGCAUGGCUGUCGUCAGCUCGUGUCGUGAGAUGUUGGGUUAAGUCCCGCAACGAGCGCAACCCUUGUUCACUGUUGCCAGCACGUUAUGGUGGGGACUCAGUGGAGACCGCCGGGGUCAACUCGGAGGAAGGUGGGGAUGACGUCAAGUCAUCAUGCCCCUUAUGUCCAGGGCUUCACGCAUGCUACAAUGGCUGGUACAGAGAGUGGCGAGCCUGUGAGGGUGAGCGAAUCUCGGAAAGUCGGUCUCAGUUCGGAUUGGGGUCUGCAACUCGACCUCAUGAAGUCGGAGUCGCUAGUAAUCGCAGAUCAGCAACGCUGCGGUGAAUACGUUCCCGGGGCU